rnacentral:rRNA from 1 species
GACGAACGCUGGCGGCGUGCCUAACACAUGCAAGUCGAACGGAACUGUUUUGAAAGAUUUCUUCGGAAUGAAUUUGAUUUAGUUUAGUGGCGGACGGGUGAGUAACGCGUGAGUAACCUGCCUUCAAGAGGGGGAUAACAUUCUGAAAAGAAUGCUAAUACCGCAUGAUAUAUCGGAACCACAUGGUUUUGAUAUCAAAGAUUUUAUCGCUUGAAGAUGGACUCGCGUCCGAUUAGUUAGUUGGUGAGGUAACGGCUCACCAAGACCGCGAUCGGUAGCCGGACUGAGAGGUUGAACGGCCACAUUGGGACUGAGACACGGCCCAGACUCCUACGGGAGGCAGCAGUGGGGGAUAUUGCGCAAUGGGGGCAACCCUGACGCAGCAACGCCGCGUGAAGGAUGAAGGUUUUCGGAUUGUAAACUUCUUUUAUUAAGGACGAAACU